rnacentral:rRNA from 1 species
UACGGAGGGAGCUAGCGUUAUUCGGAAUUACUGGGCGUAAAGCGCAUGUAGGCGGCUUUGUAAGUAAGAGGUGAAAGCCUGGAGCUCAACUCCAGAACUGCCUUUUAGACUGCAUCGCUUGAAUCCAGGAGAGGUGAGUGGAAUUCCGAGUGUAGAGGUGAAAUUCGUAGAUAUUCGGAAGAACACCAGUGGCGAAGGCGGCUCACUGGACUGGUAUUGACGCUGAGGUGCGAAAGCGUGGGGAGCAAACAGG